CCCUGGCUGUCCCUGGAGCAGUGGGAGCUGCCGCUGGCCCCAGGCACUGUCCUGUGAGGAGCUGCUGAAGGACGCUGAGACUGAGGGGGCUGAGGAGGCGCUGAUGCUGAAGGGACCUUGCAAACCUUGAGCUGUCCUGAAGAGCUUGAGGACAGGCAGACACUGAGAGGAGCCAGCAGGGAGAAGCUGAAGGCCUGGAGCAAGAGCAGUGAGCAGGGAUGUGCUGGGGCCACGCGAGAGCCUGGAUGUCCCAUCUGCUGUCCCUGUCCAGGAGAGCUGCUCUGCAUGGCAGGAAAAGACUGAGGGAGAGGCUUUGAAGAUGGGGCGGCUGGGAUCCCUCUGAUGAUAGCUCUGUUUAGAGAUGGAUGGCCUUGCACAUAGAAAAUGAGAAUUACAUGAAUAUUUCCUGUGUAUAGAGUUGUGUAGUUACCUAUUUCUAUUGAUGUGGUUGUAGGUCUAUGGCUGUUUAAAUAGGUUUAUUGGUAUUUCUAUAGGAACAUACAUGUAUUUUUAUAUGUACGUUUAUCUAUUUCUAAAUAGAAUUCUUUUGACAUGUGUAUCCAGAUGUAUAGGUGUAUAUUUGUACUGAUGCAGUUGUAUGGCUAUUUAGACUGGGACAGUGACAUUUGUAUAUUUUCAAAUAGUUUUGUUUAAUAUAUCUAUAUGUAUAUAUAUUGUAUGAAAUAUGUCAUAUUUAAUCUGUAUUUCCAUCUGUAGAUUGUUAUAUAUGUAUAUAUAGAAGAAUUUAGUUCUAUUGAAACAUGUAUGGGGUGGUAUAGUUGUAUAAUUCUAUCGAUCGAAUUCUUAGUACAGGGUUAUUUAGAGGGAGACACUGAUAUUUUUGUAUUUCUAUAUGGGCUGUAAGAUUGUGCUAAUCUGUAAUAAAUUAAGCUGUUAAACACCUCACUGAUCUUUGUUUAUAGUGACUUGUAGAGGUUAGCAAGAAGUGAAGUUUUUGCUAACUGAAGUUGGUAUUUGUAUAUUUUUACAUGGCAUUGUUGUGCUAAUAUAAUAAAUGACUUUUUUUAAACUUAAUGGAGAUUUUGAUAGUUGUGUAUUGUCAGCGCAGGUGUAGCAAUUUGUAAUAAAUGACAUUUUUCAACUGAAA